rnacentral:rRNA from 1 species
UACGGAGGGGGCUAGCGUUGUUCGGAAUUACUGGGCGUAAAGCGCACGUAGGCGGCUUUGCAAGUUAGAGGUGAAAGCCCGGGGCUCAACUCCGGAAUUGCCUUUAAAACUGACAUCGCUAGAAUUGUGGAGAGGUAAGUGGAAUUCCGGGUGGAGCGGUGAAAUGCGUAGAGAUCCGGAGGAACACCGACGGCGAAGGCAGCCUUCUGGAAAGUACCUGACGCUGAGGGGCGAAAGCUAGGGGAGGCGAACGGG